UACGAAGGUCCCAAGCGUUAUCCGGAUUUAUUGGGUUUAAAGGGUGCGUAGGCGGGUUAUUAAGUCAGUGGUGAAAGCCUUCAGCUUAACUGAAGAAUUGCCAUUGAUACUGAUGAUCUUGAGUAUGAUUGAGGUGGGCGGAAUGUGUCAUGUAGCGGUGAAAUGCUUAGAUAUGACACAGAACACCGAUUGCGAAGGCAGCUCACUAAGUCAUAACUGACGCUGAUGCACGAAAGCGUGGGGAUCAAACAGG
rnacentral:rRNA from 1 species